CUCUUAGCCAGGUGGCAGAUUCUUUCGCUGUGCCCAAUUAGCUGCUGCCGCGCCUUGGAGUCCGGAGUAACUUGGCCAGGCUGGCCCCGAGCGGAACUGGAGAAAGCUGAGGGUCUCUCUAUCCCAAAGCCUGAUGUGAUUUCCUUACUGGAGCAAGGGAAAGAGUCCUGCAUGGUUUCAAGGGACGUACCAGGAGGAUGGUGCCCAGAUAUAUAUAUAUGGAAAAGAGAAGGUCCAAGAAUAUCAAAGACAUUGAAGAAGAGGAAAGAUUUGUCCUGCCAAAUAUCAGAACUUUUAUAAAGCUACAGCAAUUAAGACAGUGUGGUCCUCACUGAUAAACUGACUAAUGAAACAGAAUAGAGAGCUCCCAAGCAAAUCUCUACAAAUUUAAUCUUCGAUACGUGAUGUAGGUGACAUGGCAGAUCAGUAAGGAAAGAAAGGACUUUUCAAUAAAUAGAAUAGAAAAAUAAUGGUUAUUGAUAUAAGAAACAAAAUGAAAUUAUAUUCCUACUUCACUCUAUAUACAAACAUUAAAUUCCAGAGGACCAAAGACUUACAUGUCAGAAACAAAACUUUAAAACUUUUAGUAGAAAAUGUAAGUGAAUGGGACACAAAAAGCCAUUUAACCAUUAAAAAAGAUUAGACAUUUUGACUAUCACAAAAUUAAGAACUUUUUACAUCAAAAAGUGGAAAGAUAGGCUGGUCACAGUGUCUCAAUCCUGUAAUCCCAAUAGUAUAUCACCUGAGGUCAGGAGUUUGAGAGCAGGCUGGCCAACAUGGUGAAACCCCAUCUCUACUAAAAAUACAAGAAAUUAGCUGGGCAUCAGUGGCAGACACCUGUAGUCCAAGCUACUUGGGAAGCUGAGGCAUGAGAAUCAUCUCAACCCAGGAGGUGGAGGUUGCAGUGAGCCACUGCACUCCAGCCUGAAUGACAGAGCCAGACUCUGUCUCAAAAACAAAAAAAUUGAAAUUAAAAAAUAAAAGUAAAAAAGUCAAAAGAUAAACUAUAAAUUAGAGAAGAUAUUUGCAGUACCUAAAACCUAUGAAAGAUUAAUAUCAUAUCAACUAAGCAUAAGGAGCUCCUAUGAAUUAAUUUUAAAAAUAGCAACCCAACAGAAAAUUGGGAAAAGACAUUAAUAGGGAUUUCACAAAAGAGAAAGCUUGCAAAACAUAAAAAUUUUCUCAACCUCAUUAGUAAUCAGGGAAAUGCACAAGAUACUACACACCUAUUCUCUCCACAAAUAUUAAGAAGUUUGACAAUACCAAAUGUAUUAGUCCAUAUUCACACUGCUGAUAAAGACAUACCCGAGACAGGGAAGAAAAAGAGGCUUAAAUGGAUUAAGGGUUCCACAUAGCUGAGGAGGCCUCAGAGUUAUGGCGGUGGAUGAACAGCACUUCUUACAUGGCAGUGGCAAGAGAAUAUGAGAAGGAGGCAAAAGAAGCAAAAGACGAAACCACUAACCCAUCAGAUCUUGUGAGAUUUAUUCACUAUCACAAGAAUAGCAUGGGAAAGACCAGCCCCAAAGAUUCAACUACCUCCCCCUGAUUCCCUCCCCGAACACAUGGGAAUCCUGAGCAGUACAAUUCAAGUUGAGAUGUGGGUAGGGACAUAGUCAAACCAUAUUAUUCUGCUCCUGGCCCCUCCAAAUCUCAUGUCCUCACACUUCAAAUCCGAUCAUGCCUUCCCAACAGUCCCCCAAAGUCUUAACUCAUUUCAGCAUUAACCCAAAUGUCCCCUGUCCAAAGUCUCAUCUGAGACAAGGCAAGUCUCUUCUGCCUAUGACCCUGUAAAAUCCAAAUCAAGCUAGUUACUUCCUAGAUACAAUCGGGGUACAGGUAAUUGAGUAAAUACAGCUGUUCCAAAUGGGAGUAAUUGGCCAAAAAAAAGGGGUUACAGGCCCCAUGCAAGUCCAAAAUCCAGCAAGGUAAUCAAAUUUUAAAGCUCCAAAAUGAUCUCCUUUGACUCCCUGUUUCACAUCAUGGUCAUGCUGAUACAAGAGGUGGGCUCCCACAGCCUUGUGUAGUUCUGCCCCUGUGGCUUUGUAGGGUAUAGUCCACCUCGUGGCUGUUUUCAUGGACUGAUGUUGAGUGUCCAUAGCUUUUCCAGGCUCAUGGUGCAAGCUGUCAGUGAAUCUACCAUUCUGGGGUCUGGAGGAGAGUGGCCCUCUCCUCACAGCUCCACUAGGAAGUUCCCCAGUAAGGACUCUGUAGAGAGGCUCUGACCCCACAUUUCUCUUCUGCAGAGCCCUAGCAGAGGUUCUCCAUCAGAGCACCACCCCUGCAGCAAACUUCUGCUUGGAUAUCCAGAUGUUUUCAAACAUCCUCUGAAAUCUAGGUGGAGGUUUCCAAACCUCAAUUCUUGACUUCUAUGCAUGUGCAGGCUGAACACAACGUGGAAGCUGCCAAGGCUUGGUGUUUGCACUCUCAAGGCCAUGGCCUGAGUUCUAUGUUGGCCCCUUUCAGCCAUGGCUGGAGGGGCUGAAACGCAGAGAAACAAGGCCCUAGGCUACACACAGCACAGUGAACCUGGCCCAGCCCAGAAAUCCAUUUUAUCCUCCUAGGCCCCGGGCUUGUGAUGGGAGGGGCUGCUGUGAUGACCUAUGACAUGUCCUGUAGACAUUUUCCCCAUUGUUUUUGGGAUUAACAUUCAGCUUCUUGUUACUUAUGCAAAUUUCUGCAGACACCUUGAAUUUAUCCUCAGAAAAUGGGAUUUUCUUCUCUAUCACAUUGUCAGGCUGCAAAUUUUCCAAAACUGUAUGCUCUGCUUCCUUUAUAAAACCGAAGGCCUUUAACAUCACCCGAGUCACCUCUUGAAUGCUUUAUUGCUUAGAAAUUUCUUCCAGCAGAUACCCUAAAUUAUCACUCUCAAGUUCAAAGUUCCACAAAUCUCUAGGACAGAGGCAAAAUGCUGCCAUUCUCUUUGCUAAAACAUAACGAGAGUUACCUUUGCUCCAGUUCACAACAAGUUCCUCAUCUCCAUCUGAGACCACCUCAGCCUGGACCUUAUUGUUCAAAACACUAUCAGCAUUUUUGUCAAAGUCAUUCAGCAAGUCUCUAGGAGGUUCCAAAGUUUCCCACAUUUUCCAGUGUUCUACUGAGCCCUCCAAACUGUUCCAACCUCUGCCUGUUACCAAGUUUCAAAGUUGCUUGCACAUUUUUGGGUACUUUUUUAAGGAGCACCUCACUCCACUGGUAUCAAUUUACUGUAUUAGUCUGCUUUCACCCUGCUGAUAAAGACAUACUCAAGUCUGAGAAGAAAAAGAGGUGUAAAGAAAAAGAACUGUAAUUGGAUUUACAGUCCCAAAUGGUGAGGGGGGCCUCAGAAUCAUGGCAGGAGGUAAAAGGCCUUCUUACAUGGCAGCAGCAAGAGAAAAUGAGGAGGAAGCCAAAGCAGAAACUCCUGAUAAACCCAUCAUAUCUCAUGAGACUUAUUCACUAUCAUGAGAAUAGCACAGGAAAGACUGGCCUCCGUGAUUCAAUUACCUCACCCUGGGUCCCUCCCAUAACAUGUGGGAAUUCUGGGAGAUAGAAUUCAAGCUGAGAUUUGGGUGUGGUCACAGCCAAACCAUAUCACCAAAUAUGGAGAGACUGUGGAUCAACAAGAUCAUCUCAAACUAAUACAGGAGGUGAGAGUUUAAAUUAGAACAACCACUUUGGAAAGCAAUUUGGAUUAUCUUAUAAGUUUGAGCAUUCUCAUAUGUUAUGGCAAAGUAAUUCCUCUACCAUAGGCCCUGGAGAAACUCUUGCCCAUAUGUACCAGAGGUAGUAAAAAAAAAAAAACGCUCAUGUAAUUCCAUUCAUAAUAGCGAAUAUAUGGAAACAAGCCAGAUUUUCAUUAAUAGGAGAAUGGGUAAAUUAAUAGGAUAAUGGGUAAAUAAAUUAUACCCUUAAAAACUAAAUAAUAUAUCAUUUAAGGUAAUCAUAUGUAUGAAAUAAACAAUGUUUUUUUUUUAAAGGAAGAGAAUCCUAAACAUAAAUUCAGGGUAGUAGUUACCCUCGGGCUGAAGGGUGAAAAUCAGGAAAAAGGACAGAGGAGGAGCAGAUGUUAGGGUCAGAACCCUGGUUCUUUGGUUGUGUUGUAAGUUCACAAGUGAUUACCAUAUUAUUCAAAUACAUUUACACAGAGGCCCAGGCACAGACAAGGAUGAAAUAGGAGCCAAGGUAUGCUAUGAGCCAAGGAUUAUGAGUAAUCCAGUUUUGUGCACUUUAAGCCAUUUGAAAAACAGAAAAGCAAAACAACAAAAUAAUUUUUAAGAAAUUGAAUAUAGGGUGUUAUGCUCUGAAUGUGUCCCCCUAAAAUUAAUCACCAAUGUCAUAAGAUUAGGAAGUAGGGCUUUAAGGUAGUGAUUCAGUCAUGAAGGGAGAGUGUUCACGAAUGAGUUUAGGAUCCUUACACAAGGACUGGAUGGAGUGGGCUUCCCCUGUUUUGCCCUUCCACCUUCUGCCAUGUGAGGACACAGUGCAUCUCCUCCUGAAGACACAGUGCACAAGAUACCAUCUUGGAUGCAGAGACCAGACCCUCACCAGACACCAAUCCUGCUGGCACCUUGAUCUUGGACUUCUAGCCUAUGGAACUGUAAGAUUGGGGAAGAUGCCAGGUGAUAGAAUCCACCCUGCCUCUGACAGCAUCCAAUCUGGAGCAAAGGCUUAUUUCAACCCUCCCCCAAGCUCCCAAUACAAGCCCAAAUUCUGGAACAGGUCCUUUCCAACACCUCCUUCAGAGAAGCUCCCUGGCUCCAGGCAGUGCUUGCUCCCCUCACUGCAGCAGGAAGCCUAACUUGCGAACUGCAGGUGUGCUCCAGGUGGUCACUGGAUGCAAGGCAUUGACAGAUGGAUCCCAUCGAUACCCCCACUGCAAAACCAUAGUGCAGUGAAUAGAAGACACUUCUCUGCACCCCAAAAGCUCCAUGCUGAUUGUGAGAAGGAAAUGCUGGAUGGAGGGGUUCCUGGAACUACUGUGAGGGAUGAUACUCCAAAUUGAUACUUAAUAUACAGAAAUGACUAUCAUGGACAUAACCCACAACAUGUGAAAUGUAUGGCUCAUUCUACUGACAUUAUACAGGAAAGUUAAUGACAACUGAAUUUCUAGUCAUUUUCCACCCAACAAGUUGCUUAUAAAAUGUCAAGGAAUUGUAGAAAUGGUGAGAGAACUUUGGAUGUGGAACGUGGAGGAGGAGGAACACGAAGUGGGGAUCUCCACUUGGGGUGGUCAGCACUGCGGGUGCCCAGCAAAGUCACUGCCUGGUCCACAUCCCGGAGGGGUCUCUGCGCCUCAGUCGGCAUCGCAGCUGAUGGUGAAACUUUUGGUGUGGCAGAAGAGUGUCCACAAACUUCGGAAGAUCGCUGCUCAGAGUGAGGAAUGGAGUUGUGUUUUGAAUAAAAUAUCCACGCAUCCUUUUGUGAGCAAGGAGCAUGAUGGUACUUAGACCUACCAUUUCUCGUUAUGGUGGUUGCGGUUACAGUGGGGCUGGGGUGUUUACCUGGAGCCUGGACAUCCACUGGGACAUGAUACCCACUGGGAAUUUUUUGUGUCAAUCUGGUCUCUGAUGUCCACCUGGGGAUUGGGUAUCCACCUAAGGCCUGAUGUUUACCUGGAGCCAGAUGUGCACCUGAGACCUGAUGUCUAUCUGUGGCCUUAUGUUCCCCUGGGGACCGAUGCACACCUGAAGGAUAGGUAUUCAUCUGGGGCCUGAUACCCACCAGUAGUAUGGGUGUCAACCUUGGGGCUAGUGUUCAGCUGGCGUCCACUGUCUACUUGGGGCCUGGUGUACACAUGGGGCCUGGGCAUCCACCUGAGACUUGAUGUUUAAUAUGGUCUGGAGUUCUUUUGGGGCCUGUUGUACCCUGGAGCCUGGGUGUACACCUGGAGCCUGAUGUCCCAGGUGAACAACUGGGUCCCAGGUGAUCUUCAGGCCCUAGGUGAAAACUCCAGGCUCUAAGUGGACAACCAGGCUCCAGGCUGAUGUUUACUGGGGCCAGAUGUCUACCAGGCCCCAGGUGAAAUCCCCAGGCUCCAAAUGGACAACAUAGCCCCAGGUUCCAGGUAGACAUUGGAAUCCAAAUCAACACCAGGCCCCAGAUGGACACCCAGGCCUGUGGUGGACAUCAGACUGCAGAAGGUCAUCUGGCUCGAGGUGGACAUCAAGCCCCAGGUGGAUACCUAGUCCCCAGGUGGAUAUCAGGCCCCACUUUGACACCAGUCCCUGGGUAGAUACCUUGGCCUCAGGUGGAUAUCCAGUCUCUAGCUAAGCAUCAGGCUCCAGGGGGACCCAGGCCCUAGCUGACUGGGGACUAGUGUUCAUAUGGGGCCACAUGUCCAUCUGGGCCCUAGGUGUCAACUUGUAGCCUGAUGUCAACCUGGAAGCUGGUGUUCACCAGAGAGGACUAAAGUCCUCCUGGUGCCUGGUGUCCAACUUGGGACUUUGUGUCCACCUGGAGACCGAUGUCCACUUGGGACCAGAUGUCCAGCUGGAGCAAGAUGUCCACCUGCAGCCUAAAACUUCACCUAAGGCCUGAUGUUCCCCAGGGCCUACAGAGCCUAUGUAUCUACCUAGGGACUUGUGUCCAGGUGGGGCCUGAAUUCCACCUGGGGCCUGGAAUUAACCUGGGACCUGAUGUCCACCUGAGACGUGGGUGUUCCUCUGGAGUCUGAUAUCUAUCUGGGGCCCGGGUGUCCUCCUGUGGUCUGAUGUCCACUUGUAGGCUGGUGUCCACCUGGGGCCUGGGUGUCCACCUAGGAACCUGAUGUAUACCUGAAGUCCAGUGUCUACGUGGGUACUGAUGUCUACCAGGAAAGUGAUAUAAACCUGGGGCCUGAUAGCCACCUGGGCCCUGAGUGUCCACAUAUGUUCUGAUUUCUCUUUUGGCCUUAGUGUAGGGCCUGAGUGCCACCUGCUUCCUGAUGUUCACCAGGAACCUAGGUAUUCACUUGGGGCUUGCUGUUCACCUGGGACCUAAUGUCCAUGUGAGGCCUGGUAUUCAGCUAGAGCCUGGGCAUCCCCCUGUGGCCUGAAGUUCAGUUGCUGACUAGGAAUUCCACUAAAGCUUGAUGUCCACCUGGGGCAUAGGUAACCACUUGUGGCCUAGUGUUGCCCUGAAGCCUAGGUGUCAACCCAGGGCAUAAUGUCCCCUUGGGGCCUGCUGUCCACCUGCAGACUGGUGUCUACAUAGGGCCUGGUAUCCACCUGGGGUCUGGUGUCUGCCUGGGGCCUAGUGUCCACCUGAAGACUGAGUAUAGACCUCAGAUCUGAUGUAUGCCUGGGGCCUAUUUAUCCACCUGGGGACUAGCAUUCAUCUGGGGCCUCAUGUCCACUUAAGCCCUGGGUGUCAACCUGGUGCCUAAUGGCCACCAGGGAUCUAUGUACUCACUUGGGGCCUGGUGCUCCCACAGGGCCUAGGUAUAAACCUGGAGAAUGAUGUGCAGGUGGAGGUGGAUGUCUUCCUGGGUGCUGGUGUUCACCUGGGGACAAGGGUCUCCCUGGGGACCAGUGUUUAUCGGGAGCCUCAUAUGCACCUUGAACCUGCUGUCUACCUAGGGCCCGAUGUCCAUGUUAAGGCUGGGUGUCCACCUGGGACCUGGUUGUCCACUUGGGGCCUAAUGUCCACCUAAGACCUAGUGUUCACCUAGGGCCUGGGUGUCCACCUGGAGCCUGAUGUUCAGCUGGAGAUGCAUCCAUCCGAAACCUAGGUAUCCACCCAGGUUCUGGUGUCGACCUGGGGUCUUAUGUCCACCUGGGGACUAGAUAUCUACCUGAGGCUUGAUGUCCACCUGGAGCCCGAUAUCCACCUCAGAGCUGGGUGUCCACCCAAGUUCUGGUAUCCACCCGGAGCCUGGUGUUCAUCUGGGGCCCAGUGCCCACCUGGAACCUGGGUAUCACCAUGGGGCCUGGGUGUCCACUUGGAACGUGAUGUGCACCUGGGACCUGAGUUUCCACCUAGGGCCUGAUGACCACCGGAGACCCAGGUGUCCACCUGGGGUCUGAUGUCUACCUGAAGCCUAGGUAACCACCUGUGCCUUGGUGUUACCUGUGCCUUGAUUUCCACCUGAGCCUGAUGUACACCUGGGGCCUGGGUGUCCAUCUGAGGCCUGAUGUACACCUCAAGUCCAGUGUCCACUUGUGGCCUGAUGUCAACUUGGAAGCUGAUAUCCACCUGGGGACUGAUGUUCUCCUGGGGUCUGAUAUCCAACUGGGAUCAGAUGUUCACCUAAGGCCUGGAGUUAAUCUGGGGCCUGAUGGUCACCAGGGACCCAGGUGUCCACCUAGGGCCUAGUGACCAACUAGGGCCUGAUGUCCACCUGGAGUCUAGUAUCCGCCUUGGCCCUGAUGCUACUUGAGGCCUGGGUGUCUUCCUAGAACCUGAGUCCCCAACUGGGCCCUGAUGUCCACCUGAGGCCUGGUGUCCUUGUAGGGCCUGAUAUCUACCUAAGGCCUGGGUAUCCUCCUGCAGCCUGAUGCUCACCUGUAGGCUGGUGUCCAUAUGGGGCCUGGGUGUUCACCUGUGAGCCUGAUGUACACCUGGAGUCCGGUGUCCCCUUGGUUACUAAUACGUACCAGGAAAAUGGUAUAUACCUGGGGCCUGAUAUACACCUGGAGCCUGUGUGUCCACUUGAGCCCUGAUGUCCACCUGGGGCCUGGUGUUUACCUGGGGCCUCUAUCCACCCACUACCGAAAGUCAAGUUAGGAAAAGGGCCCAGGAUAGGUGAGGAGCACAGAACAGGGACCUCAUUCAUAAGAAAUUCUGCUGUAGAAUGUGUGCUCUAAGCUCUUAAAACAGCUCUGCCUCAGGAAAGACUGUCCAGGGCAUAGGAAGCCCACACACAGGGUGGGAUGACAAGUUUGCAUCUGGCACGGCUGGGAGCCCUGGGGGCCUCUGCCCUUUUGGCCGCGUUGUCUCCUGGCUUUUAGGGUGGUGGGAUUCUCGGCUCUGAUUGCAGCAGGUGGAUUCACUUAGCUCUCCUCCCCUUUUAGCAUUACUGUCUUCUGUAAUAAACCUCUCACUUUGAUCUGCCAGGCUGUCAAAUGCUUUGAUUGCCCUCUCUGUUUUGUUCCAAUGGUUCAUCAAUCCAAAUAUCCACAACACAAGGACAGAUUUUAGUCUCUUCAUACAGUGGGAUAUUUCACAGCUAUUAAAACAAAUCAAAUAAAUGCUUGUGUAUUGAUAUGCAAAGUUGUCCUGCAUCAAUAACUUUUAAACACAUUUUAUGAUCCCACAUCUAUAUCUAUACAUAAUGUUUGCCACUGCUUAAACAAAACAAAAUCUAAGCUUUAGACUCCAAAUGGAAUUACAGGGGAAUCUUGAUGUCUGUGUUCUGCAGUUCUGUCAUGUUUGAAAUUGUCAAAUAAACAUGGUGCCUUUCCAGUAGCCACUCAGAAUUCCUCCUCUCUGUCCACAAAGCAUUGUCACCCUCCCUGUCCCAUUUGCCCCAGCCCUGUGGAGCUCGCUGAGCUGGCACCAUCAUCUCUUGUAAUAGACGAAGACAUUGAGGACCAGAGAGGGGAAGCACCUUGUUGACAUCCCACAGCUCUGAGUCAAAGUGGACUUGGUCUCCCUUACUAGAUGUUUCCUAAAGUCCAGGGAGCCCUGGAGGCCCAGGAAUGUAAGGGCUGGAGCCUGGGGCUUUCUGUCCUGAGGUAGGGGAGCUCACGGCUACAGUUCACGGCUUGAGUGCAUUUCCUCUCAAGUACAAUAACGGCUGCUUUGUAAGAUGGAAAAUAUAAAUGGCUGCCUGCAAAUUUGUCAGGUAAUGUGUUUGUCUCCCCUAUGGGACUGUAAACUUGGACCUGUCUGAAUCACCCUAGUGUCCCCAGCACCAGGCCAGAGCCUGACAUAUAAAAUGACUGACUUCAUUAAAUACCAACACCUUCUAGGUGCCAGGUACUGCUCUAGAUGCUGGAAUCUGCAGUGAAUAAGAUACCCAGAAUCCCUGCCCCUCACUGUAGUAGAGCAGAACAGAUGAUGAAUAAGUAAGCAUGCAGGGUGUGAGAUGGGUGGGAGACCGCAUUGUGGAACCAGGCAGUGUGCAAAGCGGACACUCAGGAAAGAACCUGAGGGUUGAGCUGUGGAUAUAAUGUGGAUAUGAUGUGGAUAUGAUGGAGGAAAUUCGCCCCUAACAUGAGUGGAGACACUCCAGCUACAAUAACAAGCGAAGGUGGAGAAGGAAGCACAGAGGCAAGCAGCUGGGGAGAUGUGGGGGUGGGAUCCAGGGAAGGUUCUCUCUUUAUUGCAUCUAUUUUCAAAUUGAAAUAGGAAGCAAGGCAACAGGUGUAAGGAAGGCUGAGGAAGGUUUUAGAGGUUUAAGGAGGAAGGAGGAGGCAAGAUACUGUUGCUUGGGGACAGGGCAGCACUUCUAGAGCUGGGUGCCUGGGCUCCAGGGCAAGUCACUUCAUCUCUUCCUGUGCCAGCAUCUCCUCAGCUGUGAAAUAGUGAUUAUUAUAGAACAGAUUCAUAGAGUUUGAUGAUAAUUAAAUCAGUUGGUAUUCAUAACAUGCUUAGAUUAUAUAUUUUUUUAUUAAGAUAACAAAGAAGUCUGGCAGACUUAUGGACUCAGGAAAUGAGUGAGUCUGUAGAACAUCAUCCAGUGCCCACUGGAGGUUUGGGCUUGAUGAUUAAAUGAGAGCAAAAGGCAUGUGUGUUUCUCUCUGGCUGUGCACAGCCACCUGAGUGCAGGAGCAGAGGGAGUGGGUGCCUGGUUUUCAGCAGAGUGCAGUUUUCCCCUGGGAGUACAAUUAUUUGUGGGGCAAGAGAGUGGAGAGUGUUAGAGAGGGUGGAUGACAGGCUGGGCCAUAUAGUCUCAGCUGGGAGGAGGGGAAAUUUGCAAGAAAGUGAGUGAGACACAAAAGUGAAAAUUUGGAGUCAUUGAAGUGUGUCGGAGUUGGGAGGCAGCUGGAAAAAGGAAAAUGGUGGUCAAAAAAAGGGUGUUUGAAAUUGAGGGUCUGGAGUAGCUACAGUUUCUGCAGUGAUAAGGACAAGAAUUUACAGGUAGGAGUGGGUGACACAGGGAGGGUGGAGACAAGGUCUCUAGGGGUGGAGGGACCAAGAGCCAGAGCAUGAGGAGGACUCUCUAUGUGCAUGUUGACAUCACCUCAGCAGGAGAAAGUGCCCAUGAACCGGGAGCCAAGUCCUCAAUGCAUAGGGAUGCGGCCCUGGGUGCAAUCUGAGGGCAAGAGCUUCAAUAUUGAUUCCCUUCGUGUGUCACCGUGUCCUUGGGUAAUUUUUCUUUGUGUGAACAUCACAGAGUGUGCUUACACACACCUCAAUAUUGUACCUACUGUACACCUAGGCUCUGUGGCACAGCCUACUGCUCUCAGGCCGCACACCUGGGCACAGGUUACUGCAGUGAAUACUGUUGGCAGUUGUAGCACAAUGGUCAGUACUUGUGCAUCUAAACGUAUCAUGAAAAGUACAGUAAAAUCGUAGUAUUGCACUAUAUAAAAAUAUAGUAUGGUACCUAGACAUGGUGCACUGGUCUAGGACACUUAUCAUGAAUGGAACGUGCAGGGCUGGAAGCUUCUCUGGGUGCGUCAGUGAGUGGUGAGUGAAGUUGAAGUCCUAGGGCGUGACUGCGCACUACUGUAGAUUUUAUAAACACUGGACACUUAGGCUACACUACGAGAUAUAUAUUUCUUUUUCUAUAGAAUUAUAAAUCUUUUUUAAUCAAUAUAUUUUUAAAGUAACUGUGCCAUAACGUUACAAUUGUUAUGUCACUGGGCUAGGCAGUAGGUGUCUUUCGGCCCCAUUAUAGUUUCAUGGGUCCACCACUGCACAUGCGGUCUGGGUUGAUGGAAACAUCAUUUCGUGGUGCAUGAAUGGAUUUUUAUGGGAGAGCAGGAUGAUGAGCUGAAAGAGGGAGGCAAUGGGAAGCAAGGAGGACCUAUCCUGCUCAGGCCCAGGGAAGGGCUGCAGCAGAGGACAGCAAGGCAGCAGUGUCCUCAGGGGAUCGGGCCUCUUACAGCAAGGAAGAAAAGGAAGAGUUCCCUGAGGCUGCUGAAACCCAGAGGGCUGCUGGUGCUGGAGCAGGAUUUUGAGGACAUGCAAAAGGGUUUCAGCAAGGGAGGGAGGGAGGAAGGAACUGGGGAGCGAGGGUCAGCCCAAGAUAACCAGGUCUCUCCCAGGAAUCUUCUGGCCACUCAGAAGUAGUGCUCACACCCAGUUGAGCCCACAAAGGGCACCCGUGCCCAGCGUGAGAACCUGGUCUGCCUAUUGCCCAGCCCUGACACAGCCCAGCCAUUGCUGGCACCUGCUGUAGCCCCUAAGAUGGAUCAGCCUGGUCGGGUCCUCAACAGCCCUCACUGAGGCAGGUAAAAACACAGGCACCUGUGAUAAGAGGCAGGCAGAGGCAAGUCACAUAGUAGUGUCAGACCAGGUGCUGCAGGAGCCCAGUCAGAAGGGCACUGAAUCCAGGCAGGCUUUCUAGAGGCAGUGACUCAGGAUUUGUGUUCCAGUUGUGAUGGUGGCACAUCCAGGAAGCAGCGCAUGGUCCAGCUGGGCACAUUGGGACUGGAGGCUGUUUUUUCGUUUUUGUUUUUGAGACGGAGUCUCACUCUGUCUCCAGGCUGGAGUGCAGUGGCAUGAUCUAAGCUCACUGGAGGAGGCUGGUUUUUAAUGAGUCUUGAGGCCAAGGCAAGGGUCAUGACCAGGGUCCAGCCUCAGUAAUGCACUCACCCCUUCACCCUGGGGCACUGCUGCAGGCCCACCAUCACCAGCCUACAUUUGCUCCCCUCCUGCCCUCUCUUUCCAGGAAGCCCCUCACCUGUCACUUCAUGAAGAAUAUGGAAGCCAAGGAGGUCUUCUUCAGGCAUUCUUCUCCACCCAUGCACUUCCUCCCUCCCUGCCAGCUUCAAAGGCAUUGAUGUCCAGAGAGACCCUCCCCAGUUGCCCCACCUUUCCGUCAGCCUCUUCCAGGAAAUGUCCUCUGACAUCUCUCUGUCUAGGUCUCCCUGUCACUCUAGUGCACACCAAGACUGUUCUCCCUUUUCCUGUCAGCCACUGAGUCCACUCAGAUAUCUUCUGCUUCCCAAAAUUAAAAUUACAAGUCAAAACAGAAACAGCUUCCAUGUCCUUACACAUUGUAGACACUUGGCUACAGCAGUGAAUGACAUAGACAAAGUCCCUUUCCUCAUGUAGCCCUCAUGCUAGUAGGGUGAAACAGAUAAUAAAUAAACUAGUCAAAUAUUCAGCAUGUGAGUUGGUGAUGAGAGCAUGGUGGUUCAUGCCUGUAAUCCUAGUGCUUUGGGAGGCCGAGAUGUGAGGAUGGUUGAGGUCAGGAAUUUGAGACCAGUCUGGGUAACAUAGUGAGACCCUGUAUCUACAAAAAAUAAAAUAAAGGAAAAGUGAAGGAGGAUAGAAUGUAUCAGUGGGAAAGGGGGAUGGGAGAGCCACAUUUUAGACAGGGUGGUCCAGGAAGGUAUAGCUCCAACCACUAUUCCUCUGGCCCAUUCCACAUCUAUCCCCAUCCCACCCCCUGCACAGUGCUUGGGUCAAAGCCUCUCAGUCCUGCUUGUAUUUCUCCAAGAGUGAUCCAGGGACCAACUGCAUCAGAACUGUGGGGUGAGGUCAUAGCCCCUGCCUGUGAGAAGUGCGGAUUCCUCUGCCCGGACCAGAAUCCCUGGGAACUGGACCCAGGAAUUUCCCAAGAUCUCUGGGGAACUCUGAGACAGCCCAAAGUAUUAGAGCUGCAGGUUUCCUCCUGAAAAGGGAGCACUGUCUCAAGGGGUCCCGGUCACCCAGCUCUAUCUUGUAGCCACCAGACCAGUCUCAGCCUUGGAGAAUGCUGCUCUUUCCUCUUGGAAUGCCCUUCCCAGUGUUCCUUGCCUGGUAGCUCUUACACAUCCCUCAAGACCCAACUCAAGGGCUACCUCCUCCUGACGUCACUCCCAGAACUUUCUCCUGUGUUUCCACUCUCCUCUUCACCAAGUGAUGUUGACAUUUCUAUGUGACCAUCUCUCUCUCUCUCUAGAACAGAAACGCCUACAGUUGCGGCCCCCUGUAGUGCAAUUUGUGUCAGUCUAGGGAGAGUGGAUUUGGAGCCCAACCACCAUUGAGGAAAAUCCAUCUGACGGACAUG
rnacentral:lncRNA from 1 species